GCAUGGCACCAGAAGACAAAGAAAGCUUGAUAAUAGGAAAGAGAUCCUUGAAAGCUAAGAACGAGAACCCUUUCCAUGUUUCAGGACAACCUCCACAAGUAACAAAAGCAAGCUGUCCAAUAUUUGGAAUCCAAUAGGCCAAAAUCGUAGAUGCCAUAGCUCCUGGGAUUCCAAACUUGUAUUUGACAGUGAGUAGCCAUGAAAGGAGGAUGUGAAUCGAAAGAGAAAAAGCUGCCAGGUAUGCAAUAAUCAUGUUCUUGCUCUGUGCUUGAAGGUACAUUUGGCAGGUAAAAGAUGGAAUAAAA
rnacentral:lncRNA from 1 species